rnacentral:rRNA from 1 species
GUGGAUUAGAUACCCUAGUAGUCCACGCCCUAAACGAUGAUGACUAGUUGUUGGGGGAGUUAAAUCCCUUAGUAACGCAGCUAACGCGCGAAGUCAUCCGCCUGGGGAGUACGGUCGCAAGAUUAAAACUCAAAGGAAUUGACGGGGGCCCGCACAAGCGGUGGAUGAUGUGGUUUAAUUCGAUGCAACGCGAAAAACCUUACCUACCCUUGACAUGCCAGGAACGCUGCAGAAAUGCAGCGGUGCCCGAAAGGGAACCUGGACACAGGUGCUGCACGGCCGUCGUCAACU